AACAGUAAUGAGUAUUUUAGACCAAACCACUACAGGGGCCGAGGGAGAAGCUGUGAAGAUGGGGCAGCUGGAACCCCUCUCCCUCUAGUUCUGCUUCUAGAUGUUUAUAGUGACACCUAUCAAGCUAAGGUUUUCAUUCUAGAGGCCGCUCUUUCACAUGCUCUGUGUCAAUGGAUAAUUAGGUACGUCUCUUGGUACCUGUCAAGGCAUCUGCUGCUUUGUCACCUCUAUCCCCACUCUGCUGCCUCUGUCCCCAUUGCCUUGUCUGCUGUGCCACCUCUGUGCCCUGUGGCCGUGCUGGGGGCUGGGCUGGCGGCCAGGCCCAGCCGAGCAGCGCUUUCAGCCGCGGUCUCGGCUGCCCACAUCUGAGCGUGAGAAAGAGAAAGAGAGCAGGCAGGAACCACCGGUGGCGAAGCAAAAAACAGGCUCCCUUGAGCCAGAACCUUGGUGCUGCCUCACCUGAGGAUUCAGAGCUGCCUCUAGGCCCUUCCAGCACAAGUCCAGGUUCUCAAGAGCGUGAGGCUUUCCCAGCAACUCCCAGGAAAAUGUUUGCCACCUCCAGACUUCUUGAGGAUUCUUCAGAGGACACACACAGAUUUCUACGCCAGCCUGAGCUCAUCAUUCCGCUGGUUCCUGUAGACCAUCAAAGCCUUUUUGUGGCACUUCCAGAGAGCAGCAGCUGCACAUCUUCAGAGCAGCACACCCAGCCUACAGCCCAUCAGCCACACCGGGCAGUUCAGCCUCCAGUGCUUCACGUGGCAGUGCUGGUUGGGCAGCAUGGACGGCCUCCAGCUAGGCUUGGAAUAGUUCUGGGCAAGAGGAAUUGCCACCCCUGGAUCUCGACCUUGUUCUUGAGACACUGGAGGAGAUGCUGUCACCAUCCCUGCCUGAAAGGUCUCCCUGUGCUCAGGGGAAUAUUAAUGUUGCCCCUGAGUCUUCAGGAGGGGAGGCUGGGAACAGGGCUGCAGCAGAGGGAGCUUCACCUGGCACCGAGAGCUGCAGGAACAGUUCCCCAGAGCCCGAGGAGCCUGAUUCCAUCUGAUUGACCUCUCCAGGAGGGCUGUCCUGAGUGGGAGGAAGAGACAGAGGGAGAGCCUGCGAGAAGAUCUGGCAGGUGCAAUCCCUCUGUCUAUAGUGAUAUUGAUAGAUGUGUAUAGUUAUAUUUAUCCAUCUCUGUAGUUAUAUUUCUAGAUUUAUACAGUUGUAUAGAUAUGUCUAGAUAGAUGAAUUUAAAGAUGUAUAGAGGUAAAUUUUUAUAUAUAUUUCUGUAUAUUGUUUUAUUUAUGUAUGCAUAGUUGUAUUUCUAGGUCUGCAUAGUUACAUUUUUAAAUGUGUACAGUUGCAUUUAUAUAUAUGCAGUUAAGUUUAUAAAUAGUUACAAGUGCACAGUUAUACAUUCAUAUAGUUAUGGGUAUAUGGAGCAUUAGGUACAUAGAUUGAUAUCUGUAUAGGUAUAGGCAGCUUUUUAACCUCUUUCCUGCUCUGCUUCCUCUCUCACCUCUUGUUUUUCCCCCUGUGCCCCCUCUGUCCCCUCCUCCUGUGCUGGCUCCGAGCUGGCGGCCGGGCCGGGCGGAGCAGCAGCUGCAGCCCCGGUGUCCCUGGAGCGGUGGGAGCUGCCGGUGGCCGCAGGCCCUGUGCCCUGAGGAGCUGCUGGAGGACGCUGCCCUGAAGACCUUCAGAAGAGCCGGAGAGAACCAGCAGGGAGAAGCUGAAGGCCGCCAGCAAGAGCAGCGAACGGGGACCUGCUGCUGCCGCCCGAGACCCUGGGUGUCCCAUCUGCUGUCCCCGUCCAGGAGAGCUGCUCUGCACGGGAGGAAGAGACCGAGGGAGAGCCUGGGAACAUCGGCGCCUGCAAUCCCUCUGAAGAUAUUUAUAGAUUUAUGUCAUUAUAUAAGUACAUGGACGUUUAGAUGGGUGGAUUGAUAUUUGUAUAGGUAUAUUUACAUUUGUAUGGGUUUACGUGUAUUUUUAUAUUUUUGUUUGUAUUUAGGUAUAUUUUCAUUGUAUAUACAGUCGUAUAGCUGCGUAGUAAGACUGAAGUAGUUAUAUGGAUAUUUAGAUAGGGAAAGAUAGGGAUAUUGAUAUUUUUAUAUGUAUGUGUAUGUGCACAGUUAUAUCUGUAGUUACAUUUAUCUAUAUGUACGUAUGGAUGUUUAAUCAUACAUAUGUACUUUUGUUCACCUUGAUGUAUACAGUUGUAUAGCUGUGUAGAUACAUUGAUGGAGUUACAGGCAUAGAGCUAUUUAGAAUAGUAUAUUGGUACUUGUGUAUUUGUAUACAGGGGGGUUAUCUUCAUAAAUGUAUCUCUUUAUAUAUGUAUUGUAUGUAUCAUGUUGAAUGUAUAAUUAUAUUUAUGCCUGUAUAUUGUUUACAGCUAUUUUUAAGUAUGUAUAGAGUUGUACGCUUAUAUAAUUAUGUUUAUUUAGGUAUAGGUGUAGGGUUGUUUAGAUAGGUAUAUUGGUGUUUUGUACUUGUAAUCAGAGUAGUUGUAACAAUCUGUAAUAAAUUAGUUUUGUUAAACUUAAAAUGAUAUUUGUAUAUUAAUUGAUAGUGUGGUUGUAGCAAUUUGUAAUAAAUGUAAUUUUUUACCUUC